GAAGGAUGUAAGCACAGCAGUCCAUAGGGAUGGCAGCAUCCCCAUCAACCGGGACCUUCCUUAUGAUCGGUGUUCCAUUCCCUUUGCUUGAAUACUCCACAUUUCUAACUCAUUUGAUGUAGAGAAUUAAAAAGAAAAUAGAUUUCUACAAAUGGCCACGGGGAAGAUGACAGAGUUUUCUCCCAUCGCUUCCUUCAGAAUAAUGAAUGAGUGUUUAGGAUAUUUCAUCUGCUCCAGCUGUUUCCCAGUGUCCCAUGGAUCAGCAGUGACAGGAUACCCCAGGUAAGGAUGAGGGAAGGAAAAUGAGAAGACUUAAUUUAGAAGAGCUCUCAAACACCUCAACCCUUUUCUUCAGACUCUUCUAAAGACGCAGAAGCUGGAAACGUGACCAGUUCUGCCUCAGAACUGGUGGCUGAAAGAGAUUAAGAAUUCUGUGCACACUUGGGAGGCGACUGUUUAGAAUCCACCGAAGGAGGAGCCACGAGGCAGGGCAGAAGGAUGAGGAUGGAGAGAAAGGAUGUAAGUGGAUGCAGUCCACGUGAGCAUAAUUCAUGCCUCCAAGGGACAUGAGGACGAUGAUGAAGUGGCUAAGAGGGUCUGUUCCAUGUUCAUAUGAAAUAUAUAUUGUAUAUUUGUAUACACAUUUGUAUAAUUAUAUAAUUUGUAUAAUUGUCCACAUAUUUUUUAUACAUUCCAACUUUGUAUUAUGCAUAUUCUCUCUUUGUCUGUCUCUCUCUCUCUGUGUCUGUCUCUGUCUCUGUCUAUCUGCCUGUCUGUCUGUCUGUCUCUGUGUGAAAGGGCAGGAAGUCUGAGACUAAACACCCUUUAAAGUGUCAAAGCCCUUUGGUGGUUUAAAUCAUAACUUGUCUCUUUAUUCACAAGAGUAGUGGCUGUUCUACAUAGAGUAAAUCGACAUGGACAAAGAAAAUGCAGCUGUG
rnacentral:lncRNA from 1 species